GAUGGUAGAAGCAAGAGGCCUUCUGUUGACUGUGGCAUCUGCUCUUUCGAUUUUGUCACAGACUGUCGAAUAGCUAUUGCCAGACAUCGUAAUGCUUCCACGUUUUGACUUAGGGUGAACUGUUUGUGCAAAUCCUGCAGCUCCUCCACAAGAAUGAUUGGAAUGAGCAUCAACGUCAGGAAGUGAAACAAAAUAUCGUUUGGUGUAGCUGGCUGUACCACUCUUCAUUGCAUUCUGCACUUCCCUCACUAUGGCUGCUCUUGCCUUCUUGAAGUCGGACCUUGUAGAUGGAGUAUCAUAUGUUGUCUGGAGUAGGAGACGUUUCUUUUCAG